GUGGGGAAUAUUGGACAAUGGGGGGAACCCUGAUCCAGCCAUGCCGCGUGUGUGAAGAAGGCCUUUUGGUUGUAAAGCACUUUAAGCGAGGAGGAGGCUACCGAGAUUAAUACUCUUGGAUAGUGGACGUUACUCGCAGAAUAAGCACCGGCUAACUCUGUGCCAGCAGCCGCGGUAAUACAGAGGGUGCAAGCGUUAAUCGGAUUUACUGGGCGUAAAGCGCGCGUAGGUGGCCAAUUAAGUCAAAUGUGAAAUCCCCGAGCUUAACUUGGGAAUUGCAUUCGAUACUGGUUGGCUAGAGUAUGGGAGAGGAUGGUAGAAUUACAGGUGUAGCGGUGAAAUGCGUAGAGAUCUGGAGGAAUACCGAUUGCGAAGGCAGCCAUUUGGCCUAAUACUGACACUGAGGUGCGAAAGCAUGGGGAGCAAACAGGAUUAGAAACCCCAGUAGUCC
rnacentral:rRNA from 1 species